rnacentral:misc_RNA from 1 species
GAUGAAGAACGCAGCGAAAUGCGAUAAGUAGUGUGAAUUGCAGAAUUCAGUGAAUCAUCGAAUCUUUGAACGCACAUUGCGCCCCUUGGUAUUCCAUGGGGCAUGCCUGUUCGAGCGUCAUUAUCCUCCCUCAAACCCCGGGUUUGGUGUUGGACCCAAGUUGUGUGAACAACUGGUCUCAAAGACAAUGACGGCGUCCGUGGGACCCUCGGUGCAACGAGCUUUUAGGAGCACGCAUCGAGUUGCAAGGACCUUCCGGGCCGGUCUCCUUUACCAUUUUACAAGGUUGACCUCGGAUCAGGUAGGAAUACCCGCUGAACUUAAGCAUAUCAAUAAGCGGAGGA